AAAAAAAAAAGUAAAAUAUUUUCUGGCAUAUUUUUGUACAGUUAAAGGGAAUGUUCUUACUGUGCUUUAAGUGAGGUUUCUUCAGGCACUUCAACCCGGUUUCAUUUGUAAAAGCAUGUGAGAAUUAAACUGAGAAGUUGACUUGCAUUUAAAUGCCUGGUUAUUAUUUUACUCAAGGCAAAUGUACAGCUGUAGAUCUGAAGCGUUUCUAUAGGGAAGUGUACAAUGGAAUUGGGGAAACAUAUGAGCCUCAUUUCUGGUACUAGAUUGAAGAUUGUAUAUGUUCUGUAAUAUAGUAAAGCUAGGAGUUUAUGUAUAUCUGUGUGAAUGGGUCCCAAAUAGCAGGUGUACAACUGGAUUUUGUUUUGCUUUUUUUAUUUUUAACAUAAUC